AGUCGAACGGCAGCGCGGGGAGCUUGCUCCCUGGCGGCGAGUGGCGCACGGGUGAGUAAUACAUCGGAACGUGUCUUCUAGUGGGGGAUAACUGCCCGAAAGGGCAGCUAAUACCGCAUGAGACCUGAGGGUGAAAGCGGGGGAUCGCAAGACCUCGCGCUGGAAGAGCGGCCGAUGUCCGAUUAGCUAGUUGGUGAGGUAAAGGCUCACCAAGGCGACGAUCGGUAGCUGGUCUGAGAGGACGACCAGCCACACUGGGACUGAGACACGGCCCAGACUCCUACGGGAGGCAGCAGUGGGGAAUUUUGGACAAUGGGGGCAACCCUGAUCCAGCCAUGCCGCGUGCAGGAUGAAGGCCUUCGGAUUGUAAACUGCUUUUGUCAGGGACGAAAAGGGAUGCGAUAACACCGCAUUCCGCUGACGGUACCUGAAGAA
rnacentral:rRNA from 1 species